AGCCAUGCAGGUCGCCGCGCUGCUCAUCUGUCUGCUGCUGACCGCGAAUACGUCACAGGUUCAGGCGCAGCCCGAGCGCUGGGAGUUAAACUGGAGGGAAAAGGAUCCAGAGGACACUAUUUCCAUUUCAUCAGGGAAAGGUGUCUCAAAUGCUGAGAUUUAUGUAUGACCGGAAGUGCUGCAACUGUUACAUCUUAGGAGCAGGCCCAUAAAAAACACUUCAAUACUAUGCCAGCAUGGGUGCUAGGAAGUGAACAAGAAAAAUCAUCAGUGGUAAUUCUGCUGCCUGAAGGCUCAGCAGAUAAUGAACACAUUUUCUGAUGUUCAGAUGGACAAUGAAAUUUAUUCUUUCAAACAUUGUGUCAGUAGGAUAUAAAU